GAACGCUAGCUACAGGCUUAACACAUGCAAGUCGAGGGGCAGCAUGGUCUUAGCUUGCUAAGGCCGAUGGCGACCGGCGCACGGGUGAGUAACGCGUAUCCAACCUGCCUUACACUCUUGGACAGCCUUCUGAAAGGGAGAUUAAUACAAGAUGUUAUCAUGAGUAAGCAUUUUCGCAUGAUUAAAGGUUUACCGGUGUAAGAUGGGGAUGCGUUCCAUUAGAUAGUAGGCGGGGUAACGGCCCACCUAGUCUUCGAUGGAUAGGGGUUCUGAGAGGAAGGUCCCCCACAUUGGAACUGAGACACGGUCCAAACUCCUACGGGAGGCAGCAGUGAGGAAUAUUGGUCAAUGGACGAGAGUCUGAACCAGCCAAGUAGCGUGAAGGAUGAAGGUUCUAUGGAUUGUAAACUUCUUUUAUACGGGAAUAAACGGAUCCACGUGUGGAUUUUUGCAUGUACCGUAUGAAUAAGGAUCGGCUAACUCCGUGCCAGCAGCCGCGGUAAUACGGAGGAUCCGAGCGUUAUCCGGAUUUAUUGGGUUUAAAGGGAGCGUAGAUGGGUUGUUAAGUCAGUUGUGAAAGUUUGCGGCUCAACCGUAAAAUUGCAAUUGAUACUGGCAGUCUUGAGUACAGUUGAGGUAGGCGGAAUUCGUGGUGUAGCGGCGAAAUGCUUAGAUAUCACGAAGAACUCCGAUUGCGAAGGCGGCUUACUAACCUGUAACUGACAUUGAUGCUCGAAAGUGUGGGUAUCAAACAGGAUUAGAUACCCUGGUAGUCCACACGGUAAACGAUGAAUACUCGCUGUAGGCGAUAUACAGUCUGCGGCCAAGCGAAAGCAUUAAGUAUUCCACCUGGGGAGUACGCCGGCAACGGUGAAACUCAAAGGAAUUGACGGGGGCCCGCACAAGCGGAGGAACAUGUGGUUUAAUUCGAUGAUACGCGAGGAACCUUACCCGGGCUUAAAUUGCAACCGAAUAUGGCGGAAACGCUAUAGCUAGCAAUAGCGGUUGUGAAGGUGCUGCAUGGUUGUCGUCAGCUCGUGCCGUGAGGUGUCGGCUUAAGUGCCAUAACGAGCGCAACCCUUGCCGAUAGUUACUAACAGGUUAUGCUGAGGACUCUGUCGGGACUGCCAUCGUAAGAUGUGAGGAAGGUGGGGAUGACGUCAAAUCAGCACGGCCCUUACGUCCGGGGCUACACACGUGUUACAAUGGGGGGUACAGAGGGCUGCUACCACGCAAGUGGAUGCCAAUCCCAAAAACCUCUCUCAGUUCGGAUUGAAGUCUGCAACCCGACUUCAUGAAGCUGGAUUCGCUAGUAAUCGCGCAUCAGCCACGGCGCGGUGAAUACGUUCCCGGGCCUUGUACACACCGCCCGUCAAGCCAUGGGAGCCGGGGGUACCUGAAGUGCGUAACCGCAAGGAGCGCCCUAGGGUAAAACUGG
rnacentral:rRNA from 1 species